AGAGUUUGAUCAUGGCUCAGAUUGAACGCUGGCGGCAGGCCUAACACAUGCAAGUCGAACGGUAACAGGAAACAGCUUGCUGUUUCGCUGACGAGUGGCGGACGGGUGAGUAAUGUCUGGGAAACUGCCUGAUGGAGGGGGAUAACUACUGGAAACGGUAGCUAAUACCGCAUAACGUCGCAAGACCAAAGAGGGGGACCUUCGGGCCUCUUGCCAUCAGAUGUGCCCAGAUGGGAUUAGCUAGUAGGUGGGGUAACGGCUCACCUAGGCGACGAUCCCUAGCUGGUCUGAGAGGAUGACCAGCCACACUGGAACUGAGACACGGUCCAGACUCCUACGGGAGGCAGCAGUGGGGAAUAUUGCACAAUGGGCGCAAGCCUGAUGCAGCCAUGCCGCGUGUAUGAAGAAGGCCUUCGGGUUGUAAAGUACUUUCAGCGGGGAGGAAGGGAGUAAAGUUAAUACCUUUGCUCAUUGACGUUACCCGCAGAAGAAGCACCGGCUAACUCCGUGCCAGCAGCCGCGGUAAUACGGAGGGUGCAAGCGUUAAUCGGAAUUACUGGGCGUAAAGCGCACGCAGGCGGUUUGUUAAGUCAGAUGUGAAAUCCCCGGGCUCAACCUGGGAACUGCAUCUGAUACUGGCAAGCUUGAGUCUCGUAGAGGGGGGUAGAAUUCCAGGUGUAGCGGUGAAAUGCGUAGAGAUCUGGAGGAAUACCGGUGGCGAAGGCGGCCCCCUGGACGAAGACUGACGCUCAGGUGCGAAAGCGUGGGGAGCAAACAGGAUUAGAUACCCUGGUAGUCCACGCCGUAAACGAUGUUGACUUGGAGGUUGUGCCCUUGAGGCGUGGCUUCCGGAGCUAACGCGUUAAGUCGACCGCCUGGGGAGUACGGCCGCAAGGUUAAAACUCAAAUGAAUUGACGGGGGCCCGCACAAGCGGUGGAGCAUGUGGUUUAAUUCGAUGCAACGCGAAGAACCUUACCUGGUCUUGACAUCCACGGAAGUUUUCAGAGAUGAGAAUGUGCCUUCGGGAACCGUGAGACAGGUGCUGCAUGGCUGUCGUCAGCUCGUGUUGUGAAAUGUUGGGUUAAGUCCCGCAACGAGCGCAACCCUUAUCCUUUGUUGCCAGCGGUCCGGCCGGGAACUCAAAGGAGACUGCCAGUGAUAAACUGGAGGAAGGUGGGGAUGACGUCAAGUCAUCAUGGCCCUUACGACCAGGGCUACACACGUGCUACAAUGGCGCAUACAAAGAGAAGCGACCUCGCGAGAGCAAGCGGACCUCAUAAAGUGCGUCGUAGUCCGGAUUGGAGUCUGCAACUCGACUCCAUGAAGUCGGAAUCGCUAGUAAUCGUGGAUCAGAAUGCCACGGUGAAUACGUUCCCGGGCCUUGUACACACCGCCCGUCACACCAUGGGAGUGGGUUGCAAAAGAAGUAGGUAGCUUAACCUUCGGGAGGGCGCUUACCACUUUGUGAUUCAUGACUGGGGUGAAGUCGUAACAAGGUAACCGUAGGGGAACCUGCGGUUG
rnacentral:rRNA from 1 species